CCCCUUAUGGUGGGCACUCUAGGAUGACUGCCGGUGACAAACCGGAGGAAGGUGGGGAUGACGUCAAAUCAUCAUGCCCCUUAUGACCUGGGCUACACACGUACUACAAUGGCCGAUACAACGGGAAGCGAAACCGCGAGGUGGAGCCAAUCCUAUCAAAGUCGGUCUCAGUUCGGAUUGCAGGCUGCAACUCGCCUGCAUGAAGUCGGAAUUGCUAGUAAUCGCGGAUCAGCAUGCCGCGGUGAAUACGUUCCCGGGUCUUGUACACACCGCCCGUCACACCACGAGAGUUUACAACACCCGAAGCCGGUGGGGUAACCCGCAAGGGAGCUAGC
rnacentral:rRNA from 1 species